rnacentral:rRNA from 1 species
AUUGAACGCUGGCGGCAGGCUUAACACAUGCAAGUCGAACGAGUGGCGGACGGGUGAGUAAUGUCUGGGAAACUGCCCGAUGGAGGGGGAUAACUACUGGAAACGGUAGCUAAUACCGCAUACCAUCGGAUGUGCCCAGAUGGGAUUAGCUAGUAGGUGGGGUAAAGGCUCACCUAGGCGACGAUCCCUAGCUGGUCUGAGAGGAUGACCAGCCACACUGGAACUGAGACACGGUCCAGACUCCUACGGGAGGCAGCAGGGGGGAAUAUUGCACAAUGGGCGCAAGCCGGAUGCAGCCAUGCCGCGUGUAUGAAGAAGGCCUUCGGGUUGUAAAGUACUUUCAGCGGGGAGGCGUUACUCGCAGAAGAAGCACCGGCUAACUCCGUGCCAGCAGCCGCGGUAAUAC